GGAAGAAAUAAAAGCCCAUACAUGGUGGUUGUUUCAGAAAAUUGAGACAACAUUCUGCACUUUGUAGCCAAAAUGGUAGCAAUACGACGAGGAUGUUCCACUUCCACACCCAAAAAUUAAGGAGACCCGUUUGAUGAAAUGCUAUUGCAAGGAAAUGCUUGUUGUGAGGCACCAGGGUUAAUGCAAGUUUUCAAAAUCUGCCAUUUUUGAGUAUCAACACCAAUAGGGGUUAUGGGUAGUAGAACUUUGUUUAAGUGGCCAAAGCAAAUUACAAGUUCCUUAGUGGAGCAGUUGAUAAAAGCAGAAAAGGAUAUAAACAAAGCUGUUCUUAUGUUUGAUUCUGCCACAGCUGAGUACAGUAAUGGGUUUCGUCAUGAUCACACGACCUUUGGUGUCAUGAUCUCGAGGUUAGUCGCUGCGAAUCAGUUCAGGUCAGCGGAAGGGUUGUUGGAGAGAAUGAAGCAAGAAAAUUGUGUUGUUACAGAAGACAUACUUUUAACUAUAUGCAGGGGUUAUGGACGUGUGCAUAGGCCACUUGAUGCCAUCAGGGUUUUUCAUAAGAUGGAAGAUUUUCAGCUGAAGUUCACUCAGAAAUCUUACCUUACAGUCAUUGAUAUCCUUGUGGAGGAGAACCAUGUAAAAAGGGCUAUUGCUUUUUACAGGGAGAUGAGGAAAAUGGGCAUUCCGCCCAGUGUUGUUUCCCUCAAUAUUUUGAUCAAGGCCCUCUGCAAAAACAAGGAAACUAUUGAUUCUGCUUUACAGAUAUUUCAUGAGAUGCCCAACCGUGGAUGCCAACCUGAUUCAUAUACGUACGGUACAUUGAUUAAUGGGCUGUGCAGAAUGGGAAGUGUCAGUGAGGCUAAGGAACUAUUCAAUGAGAUGGAGGAGAAAGGUUUUUCACCUUCUGUUGUUACCUAUACUAGUUUGAUACAUGGAAUGUGUCAGUCGGAUAAUUUGGGUGAAGCUAUAAGAUUGCUUGAAGAGAUGAAAAAAAAUGGCAUUGAGCCAAAUGUUUUUACGUACAGUACUUUAAUGGAUGGUUUAUGUAAAGGUGGUCAUUCAUUACAAGCAAUGGAAUUGUUAGAAAUGAUGGUUACAAAACAUAAUCGGCCUAACAUGGUCACUUAUGGUACUUUAAUCAAUGGGCUGUGUAAAGAAGGAAAAUUUAGUGAAGCUGUCGAGAUUCUUGACAGGAUGAGGCUUCAAGGUUUGAAACCAAAUGCAGGGUUGUAUGGGAAAAUCAUAAGUGGCUUCUGUGCUGCAUCCAGCUAUCAAGAUGCUGCAAACUUUAUUGAUGAGAUGGUGCUUGGCGGUAUCUCACCGAGUCGAGCAACUUGGAGCCUUCAUGUUAGAAUGCAUAACACGGUGGUCCAAGGUCUUUGUAGUAAUGUUGAUUCUCCUCGAGCAUUUCAGUUGUAUCUUAGCAUGCGUACUAGGGGUAUCUCUAUUGAAAUUGACACUUUUGACUGUUUAAUCAAAUGUUUUUGCAAGCGAGGGGACCUCAACAAAGCUGCUCGAAUUCUUGAAGAGAUGAUAUCAGACGGCUGCGUUCCAGAUAAGGGUAUAUGGGAUGUAGUAAUGGGUGGGCUCUGGGAUCGGAAAAAAGUGAGAGAAGCCACUGAACUAUUGCUGGCUGAGCUGGAGAAAAAGUUUGUUGAUGCUGAAAGUUGAAGUUUGAGGGUCCAUAAAACAUUUGGCAUCACGUGGAUCCCCUUGUAUCUUAUACUUGGUGACUUUACUCUUGUAGACAUUAUACUUGGUUCUUCCCCAGCCUUUUUUGAAACCUUGGUAAGGAAGAUGUUUUUUGGAACAAAUUUUCCAGAGUUCUGGCAUUCUGGACAAGGUAAACUGAGGAAAUCUAUAAACCGCAGGCGAUAUUUUGCAGCAAGUUCAGGCGAAAGCGUGUUUGAUCCGUCAAUGACCCACAAGCCCCUGAAGGUGGCAAACCCAUGACAGAUGUUCCCCUUGCUGUCUCGGAAGCUGUCAGUAAAGCAUAGCAGGAAGCACGCGGCACCGCAGAUAGCAACAAGAGAAGCUGUCAUGAGCCUGCUGACUGAAUCACAGUUGCCUACAUUUGAGAAGAUUGGAGACAGAAGCUGGAAAGCAAGGACAGUGCCUGUAGGUAAAAGGUUUGCCAACUGCGCCGUGCUCUGAAAUGUCUGGCUGAUGGCUUUCUGAACCAGGUUCCUCUCUGCUUCUGGCACCUCCGCAUUUCGCAAGAGUGGGAGCUUUUGCUCAUCAAGAUUCUUAGAAUCAUCCAUUUCUUCUUUGAUGUCCAUGUCCUAUAGAAUCUUUCAGCUGUUGUUGUUUUAUUGUUUUGAUCAAUCACCUUGUCUUUGCAGCAUAAGUUUGUUGAAAAGGUUUAUCUAUAUAGAUCAGCAAAAUUUGAGUGACACCAAA